AGGAGGCGGGGCGCCUGUGGGAGCCGUGGAGGGAACUUUCCCAGUCCCCGAGGCGGAUCCGGUGUUGCAUCCUUGGAGCGAGCUGAGAGCUCGAGAACCUGCUAAGGCCAUCAAACCUAUUGAUCGGAAGUCAGUCCAUCAGAUUUGCUCUGGGCCGGUGGUACCGAGUCUAAGCACUGCGGUGAAGGAGUUAGUAGAAAACAGUCUGGAUGCUGGUGCCACUAAUAUUGAUCUAAAGCUUAAGGACUAUGGAGUGGAUCUCAUUGAAGUUUCAGGCAAUGGAUGUGGGGUAGAAGAAGAAAACUUCGAAGGCUUAACUCUGAAACAUCACACAUCUAAGAUUCAAGAGUUUGCCGACCUACCUCAGUGAUGUCACCAUUUCUACCUGCCAUGUAUCGGCGAAGGUUGGGACUCGACUGGUGUUUGAUCACUAUGGGAAAAUCAUCCAGAAAACCCCCUACCCCCACCCCAGAGGGAUGACAGUCAGUGUGAAGCAGUUAUUUUCUACGCUACCUGUGCACCAUAAAGAAUUUCAAAGGAAUAUUAAGAAGAAACGUGCCUGCUUCCCCUUCGCCUUCUGCCGUGAUUGUCAGUUUCCUGAGGCCUCCCCAGCCAUGCUUCCUGUACAGCCUGCAGAACUGUGAGUCAAUUAAACCUGUUUUCUUCAUAAAU
rnacentral:lncRNA from 1 species